UGAGAAACUAUUUGUUUGCCAAUCAGUAAUAAAUCCAAAACUAACAGCAGGAACAACCAGGAUGUCAAAUUUUUAUCUACUAGAAGUUUUUGCACGUCCUCUCUAGAAAACAAAAUACAGAAUUCUGAGUUACACAGAUUACUAAGACCCUGAGACUUUUAAAAGAUUGAUUGAACUUUGAAGAUAACUCUACUUUGAAUUGAGGCUCUUCCAGGCUAAGUAGUUCUGUGAUUCUGAGGUUUUAUAUACUGCUCAAACAUUGCCAAAUUUGCCGUGCAAAUGUAGUUCUUUGAUGAGCACUUGGAUCCACUGAAAUUUCAUCAUGACCUGAGAUAUUUUCUCUUCAUAAAAAUCCAUUGUAAGUUCCAUUGGAUGCCCUUACUUAUCUAUUACCUUAAAUCUGUUCUAAAUCCCAGGGGGACAACUGUGUCAGGAGUUCUGCCAAGUUCUUAAGAGCUUCAGAAAUAGAGAAUUUGGGAUGAAUUUUCACUUAUUUUCUAUAUUUACCCCCAUCUCCAGACUUAGAGCCCUUGUUCUCUGGGAAGGUUUUGUGCAGUUUAACAAUGAUCAGUGUACGACCACCGAAGUUUGGCUUGAGUUUGUGCCAAAAGUCAAAAGAUUACUUUAGAUGAAUCUUGUUGCCCUGGUGAGGAUAGAGCACGCUGAGGGAUGAACAGAGGGAGAACAGAAAAAGAAGAAUGUACUCACUUUUACUGUAUGUUUUUGUGUCAUCUAUUGGAACAGUGUACAAAGGGUUUCCAUAAGUCCUUGGGUUGUUUCCCACUGUUGUCCUACCCUUCCACAUGUUCAGUCACAAAAAGAAAAGCACAUUUUGCAGCCUAAAAAGCAGUUUUGGCUCGGAUACAGUGCAAACCCAAGAAAGGGACAAGUUACAUAAGUGACAGCAAGAGAACUCAACAGCCAAAGAGGAAUGGGAUGGAAAAAUAGCAGUGACUGCAACCACUUUUGACCUCUGCUUUCCCUGGAUCAGAUGCCAGGUGUUGCCUUCUUGUAGAACCAGGAAGCUGAAAAUAUUGGUUUACAAAUCAAAUAUGUGGUGAUGGAAGUCAGGGACGUGAGAGCAGUGGGGAAUGUGGUAUUGAGCUACAGAAACCAGGGAUUGGGCUGCUGAGCUGCACCCCUUGGUGACUCUGCCUAUAAAUUCUGGUGUCCUCCUGCAUCAGGAGCUCCAAGGAGAUGGCUGCCAUCAGGAUCUUCUCUUGGAUGGUGAUGAUAAUCCUUCACAUUCAGGUGGAUGCAGAAACAAGAAGUUUCCCAACAACUGAUGUCCCCACGACUAGUAAGUAGAAUUUACCAGAUUGUUACUUUAUACAAUAAUCAUAGAUUUAUGUUUUCAUUAUAGUAUUUAUGCUUGGGAACAAGUAGUAUGAUUAAAAAGCUCACAUUUUCUGUAGGGUGGGGACAGGGAUGGACAUGAGAAGUAAAUUAUCUGGGAGGCAGGAAUCUGGGGAUGGCUUUGCCUUCUAGCAACCAGCUUUCCUGCUAGAAAGAAAAAGAUCUGUCACUUGUGCCCUUCACUGGGACCUUGACUUACUGGGGGAAGGGUAGAGAGCACUGACA